UGUAGAGUUGAGGACUCUACCGUCGACCUCUGACCGAUGGUUGACUUUUGGGGUCUAUGGGUUUCAAAUCAUUCUAGAAUGUCCUUGGGGGAUGUGUUUUAUGUAAAUUACGUGUUCUAUCAGUUAGAAUUCUGAGACAUGAUUUGAUAAUUAUUCUAGGCGACGAUCUUUCGAGACAUUUCGAUAUUCGUGCUAGGGAAUGUAGCGCGGACCUCAGGUGAGUGGGCUUUUGGUUUUUAAUAUAUGUAUAUAUGCAUUAUGUUUUUCCCAGAAAAAUUGAUUUAAAUGAUUUUGCGUUUUAGAUGCCAUGUCAAAUGCUUUAUAUUUUAGAAUAUGCAUUAGUAGUUAUGUAUGUUAGUAUUUGAUGUUGCGAACACUCAAGUAAGUUCCAAGUGAGUAUAUGUGUUAUUGAUUGUGAGUUGCGUUGUCAUGGUUAUACAUAAAUGCAUUUAGAGCUCAUUAACCUGCACCCAGGUGUUAGUGCUCCCGUCCGUGGCCAGGGCACAAUCCUUCACGUGAUGUUCACCUCCCGCACCGCACGCUCACCUUGGAUCCAAGUUUGGUGCACAACCCUGUCGUACAAACCACAAUAGGUGGUUCUGACUCGUAGGUGACCCGUGAUUUAUCGCACAGCCUUCACGUGAUCGUAGCACUUGAGCGUACUUAUUACACCUAGCCCUGUCGUACAGACCACAUUAUGUG
rnacentral:lncRNA from 1 species